UACGAAGGGGGCUAGCGUUGCUCGGAAUCACUGGGCGUAAAGGGUGCGUAGGCGGGUCUUUAAGUCCGGGGGGAAAUCCUGGAGCUCAACUCCAGAACUGCCUUCGAUACUGGAGAGCUUGAGUCCGGGAGAGGUGAGUGGAACUGCGAGUGUAGAGGUGAAAUUCGUAGAUAUUCGCAAGAACACCAGUGGCGAAGGCGGCUCACUGGCCCGGUACUGACGCUGAGGUGCGAAAGCGUGGGGGGCAAACAGG
rnacentral:rRNA from 1 species